rfam:Rattus norvegicus chromosome 3, whole genome shotgun sequence.
GGAUGUGAAUGUGAUCUGGCUGUGACGUCCACUACACUGAUUGAUAGGCUUGAUUCUGCUGACUUGGCUAGCUAGGCAGAUGUCCUGGUCACUCUGCAUUCAUCCUUUUUGAAGAUGUGAAUUCAGUGGAAGAGGAGGACCAUCCUCCAUGGAAGAGGUCAAGUCUUGGGUCCAGAGUAUAUGAUUAGCUUGGCUCUCCUGAGAGAACUUCCAAAUAAGCUCUCAAAUGACUGUCAUGAUUCAGACUCCUCAUUCUGGAAGGUUGUUCAAUUUUUCUCACAUUUCCUGUUUUGCUCUUUCUUUGGAUGUCGUAUGCA